rnacentral:rRNA from 1 species
GACGAACGCUGGCGGCGUGCUUAACACAUGCAAGUCGAACGGAAAGGCCCUGCUUUUGUGGGGUGCUCGAGUGGCGAACGGGUGAGUAACACGUGAGUAACCUGCCCUUGACUUUGGGAUAACUUCAGGAAACUGGGGCGAAUACCGGAGAGGAGCUCCUGCUGCAUGGGGGGGGUUGGAAAGUUUCGGCGGUUGGGGAUGGUCUCGCGGCUUAUCAGCUUGUUGGUGGGGUAGUGGCGUACGAAGGCUUUGACGGGUAGCCGGCGUGAGAGGGUGGCCGGCCACAUUGGGACUGCGAUACGGACCAGACUCCUACGGGAGGCAGCAGUGGGGAAUAUUGCACAAUGGGCGGAAGCCUGAUGCAGCAACGCCGCGUGCGGGAUGCCGGCCUUCGGGUUGUAAACCGCUUUCGCCUGUGACGAAGCGUGAGUGACGGUAAUGGGUAAAGAAGCACCGGCUAACUACGUG